rnacentral:rRNA from 1 species
UGGGGAAUUUUGGACAAUGGGCGCAAGCCUGAUCCAGCCAUGCCGCGUGCGGGAAGAAGGCCUUCGGGUUGUAAACCGCUUUUGUCAGGGAAGAAAUCUUCUGAGUUAAUACCUCGGGAGGAUGACGGUACCUGAAGAAUAAGCACCGGCUAACUACGUGCCAGCAGCCGCGGUAAUACGUAGGGUGCAAGCGUUAAUCGGAAUUACUGGGCGUAAAGCGUGCGCAGGCGGUUUUGUAAGACGGAGGUGAAAUCCCCGGGCUCAACCUGGGAACUGCCUUUGUGACUGCAAGGCUUGAGUGCGGCAGAGGGGGAUGGAAUUCCGCGUGUAGCAGUGAAAUGCGUAGAUAUGCGGAGGAACACCGAUGGCGAAGGCAAUCCCCUGGGCCUGCACUGACGCUCAUGCACGAAAAGCGU